UCUGAUAUUGUACUGUCAGCAGAGACUUA
rnacentral:piRNA from 1 species